GCCUCCCCUGAAUUUUCUACACCAAAAUGUUUUUUCGAAGUAAUCAAAUGAAAUAUUGACAAUAUGUACACGAAGAACUUGAAUUUAUAUUAUAAACAACACAAGUUUACAGUUUUAACAGUGUUAUUCAGAUACGUGAUAUAUCUGUCAUUUUCCGGAUUUUUUUACCGAAAGUGAACCGUUUCAGUAUUUUAUUUUUCGU
rnacentral:lncRNA from 1 species